CUUUUCUGUUUAUUUGAAGGAGUUUGAAACGGAGCUUGAAGUUGCUUGUUUUAAUGAAAAUGGUAUUUGUUGGGUCAACUUGUCUCCUUUUUUUCGUAUUAGUCAUGGAUGUCAACAAGUCUGCUUCUCGUCAAGUGAUUUCCUUUCGUCAUUUAUUUCAUCUGGGAGGCCAAAAUGCAAUUGAUCUGCAGUGCAGUCUAAACUCGGAAAAUUCAUCCAAUAUCGUGUUCAGAUAUGGAGGACAUGCAUUACAGUAGAUGCAAUCGGUUCCUGUUGAAGGAUGGCUUUUGCUGAAAUUUAAAGAUACCUGCAUAAUCAAGUCCAACCGCAAUCAUGUGAAGUCUAGAUUUAGCAUGAAAAAAUUACAUGCUUGUAACGGAACUACUGCCGAUUCUCUGCAAUGGAAAUCUACAUAUUCUACAUGAAUGGUACUGAAGCUUCAUUUCAAGCUGUAGACAUGCAAAAGAUGAAAUGGACCGAAUUUGGAAGCCAGUAUCUUGACAUGAUAGGAAGAGGGUGAUGUUUGCAUAACGUUUCCAAAUGGACUGCCUUAGGCAUUCAUAAAGAUGCCAGUAUUUUUCUCAUAAUUCAAGCCUCCAACGUGAUAAUGUCUUAAAGACUGAAAGUAUAUUGGUAACAUUUUGAGAUAUAGAAUAUUUUGUAAGGAAAUCAUUUUACUUAUAACAUGUUUCUACAAAAUUUUGUUCUACUGGUUAUAAAUAUUUUACUCAUCAUAGAAAAUUUAAACGGAAAGAUUUGUUUAUAGCUUAGAACAUCGUUUAUGAAUAAUUAACUACCAUUAAAUUUAUAAGUUAUAGUAACAUUUCUUCAAAACUGGCUUCUGACGAAACUUGACAUUGGCGAUAAUUGUGCAUUAAACCUCGUAAAAAGGGCUCCGCUGUCAGGCUCGCAUCUCAAAGUUCGAAUUCAGUCUUGUUUGCCAUACUUCAAGUGUUAGUCAUCAACUUCCAUGUAAUCAAAUAUCCAAAUUGUCCAUUAAAAAUUCAGGGUGUAGUGCCAACAUACUCUCAUUUUGAUUGGCAAUAUUUCAAAUGCACAUGGUAAGGAUUAAAUGUAGUGGCAAGAAUUAAGAAAUAACUUGGCUCCAUGGCAAGUGUUUUCUGAAUGACUCGAUUUCAGAAAAGCCUCGAAAAGGUUUUCCAUACUGUCUUAAACCGAGUUCUGUAUUGGCUAAUAAGAAAUGUUGUAGUGUUUCAUGUAGUCAAUGUAUGAAUUCGCUAGAAUACAGAACGAAACGUAAGAAUUUAUAAAAAUAUUAAGAUAUCCCUACUACAACUUACGAUAGAUAUGUCGGCCUUUCUACCAUCUAAUUUCAUUACAGGUAUUGCAUAUUUUCACAAAUCUCACCCUGAUCUGGGCGAGUUCCUUUCCAAAACUCCGCAUGUAAACUUAAUGAAUAAUAUUUUUUAGAAAACGAGUGUAUAAACAUUAGCCAUGCGUUUUAGUGCAGUACCAUACCUUACAUCAUUAAGUUUUUCCUGACUCGCAUUUUUACGCUUUUAGGCAUCUGGAUUUUGCAGACAUUCCAUGUUUUAAUCUUGUUAUAAAUUGAUACAAAUAUUUUAAUUUCAUGAAUGUUGCGCAAUUUAGCCAAAGAUGGUUUUUGUGCCAUAAAACUCAAACUCGACUGUAACUCAAACUGCCAUAAAACUCAAAACUAAAACUCAAUCUUAUUUCCUACUUAAAUUUUAAAAUGCAAUUAAAGUUCUUAGUAGUAUAUUGCAGAUUCAGGUUCUUCCUAGGCAUUGUUAAUCAGCAUAGUGUGGAGGAAAUCGAUUUGAUUGUGAGAAUGCAACUUUUAAUUUGAUCUUAAAAAUGGAAAUGGCAAAACUUUCGUGCAAGAUAGGAGAAAGUGCAAGCAUUCUACGAAAUGUUGAUUGGAGGCACUUCUUAAAUUUAACAAAUUGAGCUACGAAUUUAACUUGGUUAGAUGACAAAUCCUACUAAGGAUAUUUAAUUCCUAUAUUAUAAAGGUACAUUUGAUGUUCUGAAGCGCUUUUAAGUUUUUCAGAUUUAAACUUUGUGAUUUUUAAUUUUAAAGCUAUUAAUUCGAUGCGCAAUACAA